rnacentral:rRNA from 4 species
AGCCGGUGGCCCAACCCCUUGUGGGAGGGAGCUGUCGAAGGUGGGACUGGCGAUUGGGACGAAGUCGUAACAAGGUAGCCGUACCGGAAGGUGCGGCUGGAUCACCUCCUUU